UUGUCUCAAAGAUUAAGCCAUGCAUGUCUCAGUACAAGCCAAAUUAAGGUGAAACCGCGAAAGGCUCAUUAAAUCAGUUAUGGUUCCUUAGAUCGUACCCACAAUUACUUGGAUAACUGUGGUAAUUCUAGAGCUAAUACAUGCAAACAGAGCUCCGACCGGAGACGGAAGGAGUGCUUUUAUUAGAUCAAAACCAAUCGGUGGCGGUUGGUGACUCUGAAUAACUUUACGCUGAUCGCACGGUCUCGCACCGGCGACGCAUCUUUCAAAUGUCUGCCUUAUCAACUGUCGAUGGUAGGUUCUGCGCCUACCAUGGUUGUAACGGGUAACGGGGAAUCAGGGUUCGAUUCCGGAGAGGGAGCCUGAGAAACGGCUACCACAUCCAAGGAAGGCAGCAGGCGCGCAAAUUACCCACUCCCGGCACGGGGAGGUAGUGACGAAAAAUAACGAUACGGGACUCAUCCGAGGCCCCGUAAUCGGAAUGAGUACACUCUAAACCCUUUAACGAGGAUCAAUUGGAGGGCAAGUCUGGUGCCAGCAGCCGCGGUA
rnacentral:rRNA from 1 species